rnacentral:rRNA from 1 species
ACACGUAGGAGGCAAACGUUAUCCGGAUUUACUGGGCGUAAAGCGCGUGUAGGUGGUUUGGUAAGUAGGGCGUGAAAGCUCCUGGCUCAACUGGGAGAGGACGUCCUAAACUGCCAAGCUUGAGGAUGGUAGAGGGAGGUGGAAUUCCGGGUGUAGCGGUGGAAUGCGCAGAUAUCCGGAGGAACACCAGUGGCGAAGGCGGCCUCCUGGACCACUCCUGACACUCAGACGCGAAAGCUAGGGUAGCAAACGGGAUUAGAGACCCCGGUAGUCCUAGCCCUAAACGAUGUAGACUUGGCGUCGGUGGUUUAAUCGCCAUCGGUGUCGUAGCUAACGCGUUAAGUCUACCGCCUGGGGACUACGGCCGCAAGGUUAAA